UCUCUCCACACAAUCUCUCUCUUGUCUUCGUGCGAGUCAUAUGUAAUCCUGGAAAGACAGACAGCAUACUUACACCACUUCCACUUCCAUUCCAUGGCCAAACUAAAGGCACCCAGACGCACUCUUGACUCCUACACUCUCAAGCACAUCAACAAAACCAUUAAAGCUGGUGACUGCGUCUUGAUGCGACCCUCCGAUCCAUCCAACUCUUCCUACGUUGCCAGGAUCGAGCGGAUCGAAUCCGACGCCCGUGGUGCCAACGUCAGGGUCCAUGUCCGAUGGUACUACCGUCCGGAGGAGUCGAUCGGCGGCCGCCGGCAAUUUCAUGGCUCUAAAGAGGUCUUCCUUUCUGAUCAUUAUGAUAUACAGAGCGCUGAUACCAUCGAAGCCAAGUGUACGGUUCACAGUUUUAAGAGUUACACGAAACUUGACGCUGUUGGGAACGAGGAUUUUUUCUGUCGUUUUGAGUACAAUUCUUCCACUGGUGCAUUCAAUCCCGAUAGAGUCGCCGUGUAUUGCAAAUGCGAGAUGCCUUACAACCCUGAUGACUUGAUGGUUCAAUGUGAAGGCUGCAGUGACUGCAUUCUUGCAGAAAUUCAAGAAGGGAGAGAGUUUAGGGGCAACAAUUUAAAAGUAUGCCCCCUAUUGAGUGCAAUGAUGGAAUUGAUUCAAUUUAGGUCUCAUUUGUGCUGUCCCAUCGGAAUCUAGGGUUUCAUCCUGCAUGCAUAGAAAUGACUGCAGAGGAAGCUAAAAGACUUGAUCACUUCUUUUGCGAGAAUUGUUCAUCUGAAGGUCAAAAGAAGCUGCAAAAUUCCCAUGCUACUUCCAGAACACAAGAUACAAAGGUGGAAACAAAGAGGCGACGCAGGUGAUAAAGUAAAUAAAAAGAAUAUGUUGAUAUAGAGUGGAUAAAGGAGGAAGUGGAGUACUAUCUUUUCUUUAACUUGUGUAGGCGUCACACAAACACGGAGGCAAAGAUAUUUGCAUAGCAAGCUGUAUUAAUUUACGAGUCAAUGGCAGAGGGAAACUGGUUUGAAAACCUUUGUUAUGUUUAUAUGGUUUGAGGUUGUCACCUUGUUUUCCUUUGGAAGUCGAGGACGUGUUUGGUUGUUUAUAGUUGUGUUACGUAGAUCUCUAAUAUUCUGGUUUCUUGUUUAUAAAAUUUAGGUUUGUGUAUAAACCAAAACUAUUUUAACUUUAUUGAAUAGCAAAUAGAUACAAGCAUCUUUAUUUA